ACAGUACAAACUGAACAGGCGAUAAACCAGCAGGUUUAUGGGGCCGGGCCGCUGACGUGGCAGCAGAUUGUUUUCAGCAUCUGCGGGACAGU
rnacentral:ncRNA from 1 species